rnacentral:rRNA from 1 species
GACGAACGCUGGCGGCGUGCUUAACACAUGCAAGUCGAACGAAGAGCGAUGGAAGCUUGCUUCUAUCAAUCUUAGUGGCGAACGGGUGAGUAACGCGUAAUCAACCUGCCCUUCAGAGGGGGACAACAGUUGGAAACGACUGCUAAUACCGCAUACGAUCUAAUCUCGGCAUCGAGGAUGGAUGAAAGGUGGCCUCUAUGUAUAAGCUAUCACUGAAGGAGGGGAUUGCGUCUGAUUAGCUAGUUGGAGGGGUAACGGCCCACCAAGGCGAUGAUCAGUAGCCGGUCUGAGAGGAUGAACGGCCACAUUGGGACUGAGACACGGCCCAGACUCCUACGGGAGGCAGCAGUGGGGAAUCUUCCGCAAUGGACGAAAGUCUGACGGAGCAACGCCGCGUGAGUGAUGACGGCCUUCGGGUUGUAAAGCUCUGUUAAUCGGGACGAAAGGCCUUCUUGCGAAUAGUGAGAAGGAUUGACGGUACCGGAAUAGAAAGCCACGGCUAACUACGUGCCAGCAGCCGCGGUAAUACGUAGGUGGCAAGCGUUGUCCGGAAUUAUUGGGCGUAAAGCGCGCGCAGGCGGAUAGGUCAGUCUGUCU